rnacentral:sRNA from 1 species
CUAACUUCCUGCCGCGAAUGUGAAGCUACUGCGAAUUCUCGGCUGAAUUCUCGCAGUAGCUUC